CAGGAUGAACGCUAGCUACAGGCUUAACACAUGCAAGUCGAGGGGCAGCAUAAUCGAAGCUUGCUUGAUUGAUGGCGACCGGCGCACGGGUGAGUAACGCGUAUCCAACCUUCCCCUUAGUAGGGCAUAGCCCGGCGAAAGUCGGAUUAAUACCCUAUGUUAUCCGUCGAGGGCAUCCGAAAUGGAUUAAAGAUUUAUCGCCAAGGGAUGGGGAUGCGUCUGAUUAGGUUGUUGGCGGGGUAACGGCCCACCAAGCCUACGAUCAGUAGGGGUUCUGAGAGGAAGGUCCCCCACAUUGGUACUGAGACACGGACCAAACUCCUACGGGAGGCAGCAGUGAGGAAUAUUGGUCAAUGGGCGAGAGCCUGAACCAGCCAAGUAGCGUGCCAGGAUGACGGCCCUAUGGGUUGUAAACUGCUUUUGCAUGGGAAUAAAGUCGGGGACGUGUCCCCGUUUGUAUGUACCAUGAGAAUAAGGACCGGCUAAUUCCGUGCCAGCCGCAGC
rnacentral:rRNA from 1 species